GAUGAACACUGGCGGCGUGCUUAACACAUGCAAGUCGAACGAUGAAGCCGGAGCUUGCUCUGGUGAAUUAGUGGCGAACGGGUGAGUAACACGUGAGUAACCUGCCCUUGACUCUGGGAUAACUGCGGGAAACUGUAGCUAAUACCGGAUACGACCCUCGGAGGCAUCUCCUGGGGGUGGAAAGAAUUUCGGUCAAGGAUGGACUCGCGGCCUAUCAGCUAGUUGGUGAGGUAAGGCUCACCAAGGCGACGACGGGUAGCCGGCCUGAGAGGGUGACCGGCCACACUGGGACUGAGACACGGCCCAGACUCCUACGGGAGGCAGCAGUGGGGAAUAUUGCACAAUGGGCGCAAGCCUGAUGCAGCAACGCCGCGUGAGGGAUGACGGCCUUCGGGUUGUAAACCUCUUUUAGCAGGGAAGAAGCGAAAGUGACGGUACCUGCAGAAAAAGCACCGGCUAACUACGUGCCAGCCGCCGCCGUAA
rnacentral:rRNA from 1 species